rnacentral:rRNA from 1 species
UACAGAGGUCUCAAGCGUUGUUCGGAUUCAUUGGGCGUAAAGGGUGCGUAGGCGGCGCGGUAAGUCGGGUGUGAAAUCUCGGGGCUUAACUCCGAAACUGCAUUCGAUACUGCCGUGCUUGAGGACUGGAGAGGAGACUGGAAUUUACGGUGUAGCGGUGAAAUGCGUAGAUAUCGUAAGGAAGACCAGUGGCGAAGGCGGGUCUCUGGACAGUUCCUGACGCUGAGGCACGAAAGCUGGGGGAGCAAACAGG